AAGAAGAAGAUGGGCUCUAAUGAAAGACGCUAUUGAUUUGCAUUAUGGGAAAUGUAGGCUCCAGUGUUUUUGGAGUUUGACCCAGUCGGGAUAUCUCUGUAUCAAUUGCUUCAAUUUUGACCAUUCUUUUUUUAAUCUGUAUCUUGUGAG